rnacentral:rRNA from 1 species
AUUGAACGCUGGCGGCAGGCCUAACACAUGCAAGUCGAACGAGUAGCGGACGGGCGAAUAAUGUCUGAAAAACUGCCCGACGGGGCGGGAUAACUACUGUAAACGGUGGCUAAUACUGCUUACCAUCGGUUGUGGCGAGGUGGGAUUAGCUAGUUGGUGUGGUAACGGCUCACCUAGGCGAAGAUCCCUAGCUGGUCUGAGAGGAUGACCAGCCACAUGGGAACGGAGACACGGCCCAGACUCCUACGGGAGGCAGCAGUGGGGAAUAUUGCACAAUGGGCGCAAGCCUGAUGCAGCCAUGCCGCGUGGAUGAAGAAGGCCUUCGGGUUGUAAAGUUCUUUCGGCGGGGAGGCGUUACCCACAGAAGAAGCACCGGCUAACUCCGUGCCAGCAGCCGCGGUAAUUC